rnacentral:lncRNA from 1 species
AUUGUCCAAUAUGCACAGCCCUUUGAUCCAAUGAAGCACGUGUGCGCAUGCGUCGUGUCCCUGUUAAACGGCGAAUAGGGCCCUGAGCAGACCGUGCCUUUAGUCCGGGGAAGCUCCGGGUUUAGGUGGGUCUCUCGGUUGGGCUUUCCCCCACCAAGGACCCCUUUUUCCCCUGCAGAAGCCACGUUUGCAGCACCACAUCCCCCGGAUGACCGUGCCCGCUGACUCACCGGAGGCUUCAUAACUCGAGUUCUUAGUGGUUGGCAGCAUCCUGGAACAUCCAAGGAAGGAUACGCUCUAGAGUGGGGCUAGCAGCUGCCAAGGCUUCUAAAAAGACCUCAAAAUCCACCAGCCUCAUGGCAAAGAAGAACAAGUCCCAACUUUUCUUGCUUCAGAGCCCUGGAGGAGCUAUUUGAACUGCUGUCCAGACCCCCAGCUGUGCACAGCCAUUCCAGGACCAAGUGGAUGCCAAGGUGCCUGACAGAGCUGAGUUGUGCUGGAAACACAAAACCGUCCAACCAUUCACUGAGAAAUUCUACCCAGGACCCAGGGAACCAGGUUUUCUUCCAGCUCUUCUGCAAAACAAAGAACAGCAUCGGAGGUGAGCAGUGAAAGCACCGAAGGAAACAAAACAGGUAGAGAAGUGGAUGCAUGUUCGAUUCCUGCACUCCCCGCCUACAGACCUCAGAGCCCAGGCCAUGGCAGUAUUGCAAAGGGACAACAAACCCAUGGGUCCCUCCAGAAUGGACUGUAAAUGAAAUAUGUUCUAGUGUCUUUAAAGAAUAAAAUAGAAAUUUAUUUAAAAGUGUUGCAAAAUUCAUAGUAGCUCAUGAAUAUGUAUUUCUCCAACACC